rnacentral:lncRNA from 1 species
UUGGGGUGAUAAAAAUGUUCUAAACUUGAUUAUAGAAAUGAGACAGGAUAGUUCCCUUGACCCACUUCGUGGGUGGGAAUGGAAGUGGCUCAUUUCACUUAGCCUGCCACUGGCCACUCCUCAUGAGACAGAGUGUGCCAGCAAGGGAGUGUGGGAACUGGAGAGAAUGAACCCUGGACCUGGCCACUCUUCUCUGGCGGAAGCAGGUUCCGUGCGGGCCCUACAGCAGCAUCCAAGCCCCUGUCCUCUCGGCACCUGAGUUCUUGUUUGGCAUCCAGGAAGAAUUAGGUCACCCACACGGAUUGAAAGGAUAUGGACAACGACCAGUCUUUCCGUUGUUUAACGAAAGCGGCAGUUGGAUUCCUCCCAGAAGUCUACCCAAGGAUCCCCAGCGAAAGGGAGCCAUAGUCCGAGGCUCUGGCUGCCUGCCUGUUUGGAGCUUUGAUGGCCUCGAGGCCCCCAGAUGAGACAGGAUUGUUCCCUUCAUCUUAACCCCCUUCGUGGGCGGGAACUGGAGCAGCUCAUUUCACUCAGCUCGCCUCCUGCCACUCCUGGCGGCAGAGCGUGCGAGUGCGGGAACCGGAGCGACCGAAUGCUGGAACCGGCCGGUCACUCCUCUCUGGCGGGAAUAGGCUCUGUGCGGGCCUCACAGCAGCGUCCAAGCCCUGGCCUCUCGGCACCGGGGUACCUGUCCGGCGUCCAGGAAGAAUUAGGUCAUAUGAACGGAUUGAAGAGUAGUGUAUGCGGAAGAUUUGAUUGAGUGGUGGCUCCUGGUGGGAUGGGUACUGGAAAGCAGACGGUGAAAGAGGGUCAUCUUUCCCUGAAGCCGCACCAUCUGAAGUUAGCUGCGUCUAUCUGUAGUCUUCAACACUCUUGCUGCUUCUCUGCUCACCGCUCAGCCGCUUGUGUUGCUCUGCCAGCUGAAGUCUUUUUUAUGGCCACAGGAUAGGGGCGUGGCAGGCCAAAAAAACAACAUUUGGGCAGAAAAACAGGGUCAGCUGUUUUCAAGGCCGUGAUUCCAGGCUUAAGGGUGGGGUUUAGCUGGGAACCCAGCCAUUCUGUAUCAGUGAUAGUUGCACAACUAUAAAUAUACUAACAACCAUUGAAUUGUGUACUUUAAGUAGAUUAACCGUAUGAUAUAUGAAUUACAUCUCAGUAAAGUUGUUUUUUAAAAAAUAUGCAUAUACCUUAGUCUAGCCGUUCCAGGUCAUAUACUACAGCGAUAGUAACAAAGAUAUAAUAUGUGGUUUAUAAUAAUAAAUAUUGGAAAUACUUAAUCUUGCAAAUGCAUGAUCAGUAAGGUAGUGGAGGCAAAAACUAGGUUUCCCAGGAGCUUCAGGCUUCUCAACUUCCAAGUAGUAAUCUCAAGGAAGUACGUACUCUGACUGAAACUGUUUAUGUCACAGACCUACUCCUUAGACCAAUCACUGUUCCCAUAGAGAUAGCUCAUUAUGAUUUGUGGAGUCAGAAUCAUGUGCCCACUGCUGAAAUCAGGAAUUCAGGGUCCUGGGAGAGUCACCCGUGCCACCCACCUAAUGUUUUCUGGAAGUUUGACUUUAAAAGGAAGAAGACAGCAAGAGAUCAAUAUAGCUAGAGUGUGGAGAUGAGGUGUUUUCUUUAAAAUAGAGGUGACUUGAACACGUUUAAAUGCUUGUGCAAAGUAGCCAAUAUAGAGGGAGCAGUUAAAGACACAAAAGAAAUAGAAUAUUUCUAAUCAAUAGAUCUCAGGAAAUUAUUAUUUCCCACUAUCCCUCAGAAAAUUAUAUUCAAUAAAGGAAUUUGUUUCUGGC